GAUGAACGCUGGCGGCGUGCUUAACACAUGCAAGUCGAACGGAAAGGCCCAAGCUUGCUUGGGUACUCGAGUGGCGAACGGGUGAGUAACACGUGGGUGAUCUGCCCUGCACUUCGGGAUAAGCCUGGGAAACUGGGUCUAAUACCGGAUAGGACCACAUUUUGGAUGGUGUGGUGGAAAGUUUUUCGGUGUGGGAUGAGCUCGCGGCCUAUCAGCUUGUUGUUGGGGUAAUGGCCUACCAAGGCGUCGACGGGUAGCCGGCCUGAGAGGGUGUACGGCCACAUUGGGAGUGAGAUACGGCCCAGACUCCUACGGGAGGCAGAAGUGGGGAAUAUUGCACAAUGGGGGCAAGACUGAUGCAGAGACGCCGCGUGGGGGAUGACGGCCUUCGGGUUGUAAACUCCUCUCGCUAGGGACGAAGCGUUUUUGUGACGGUACCUGGAGAAGAAGCACCGGCUAACUACGUG
rnacentral:rRNA from 1 species